UUGAUCUGAGUAUAUUGAGUCAAUCUUCGACUUCAUUGCCUCUAACUAUUUUUCAGAGUCGAUAUCUAAUAUCAUCUCGACAUAGGUCUUGGGGUCAUUAAUAUAUACCCUAUUUUCUAUGAAGAAUAUAUUUUCUACAUCCUCUGUAAUGAUACUUAAGUAUUUAUCAGGAGGAUGAAAAAUUCUACUAGAUCUACGAGGUAGAGGAGGAGAUGCACGUAUUGGCUCGAUCUAAAUGGAUUUUUUAGGUUUUAAGGCUUAUUGCUCUUCAGAGACUUUCUCUUCAGGCCAAAUCUAUCUUUCCAUACUCCAUCUUGAAUAAACUAUUUUUCAAGAAAGAUGCUGGACUGAAAUC
rnacentral:lncRNA from 1 species